UUCUCAGUGGUCCAGUGGUUAGGACUCUGUGCUUCCGCUGCAGGGGCCAUGGGUUCAAUCCCUGUCAGGUAAC
rnacentral:tRNA from 1 species